rnacentral:tRNA from 1 species
GGGGAUAUAGCUCAGUGGUAGAGCUCGACUGCAGAUCGAGAGGUCCGUGGUUCGAACCCGGGUGUCCCCU